AGCAGCCGCGGUAAUUCCAGCUCCAAUAGCGUAUAUUAAAGUUGUUGCAGUUAAAAAGCUCGUAGUUGAAUUUCGGAAUCAAUAUGUCGGUCGUGCCUUGGUACGUACUGGUAUCAUUGGUUUCUCCUUUCUGACGAACCAUGAUGUCAUUAAUUUGGUGUUGCAGGGAAACUGGACUGUUACUUUGAAAAAAUUAGAGUGUUUAAAGCAAGCUAACGCUUGAAUACAUUAGCAUGGAAUAAUGAAAUAGGACGUUCGAUCCUAUUUUGUUGGUUUCUAGGAUUGACGUAAUGAUUAAUAGGGAUAGUUGGGGGCAUUAGUAUUCAAUUGUCAGAGGUGAAAUUCUUGGAUUUAUUGAAGACUAACUACUGCGAAAGCAUUUGCCAAGGAUGUUUUCAUUAAUCAAGAACGAAAGUUAGGGGAUCGAAGACGAUCAGAUACCGUCGUAGUCUUAACCAUAAACUAUGCCGACUAGGGAUCGGAUGAUGUAAUUUUUAAUGA
rnacentral:rRNA from 1 species